AUUGAACGCUGGCGGCAUGCCUUACACAUGCAAGUCGAACGGCAGCGGACCUUCGGGUGCCGGCGAGUGGCGAACGGGUGAGUAAUAUAUCGGAACGUACCUUUCAGUGGGGGAUAACGUAGCGAAAGUUACGCUAAUACCGCAUAUUCUGUGAGCAGGAAAGCAGGGGAUCGCAAGACCUUGCGCUGAUUGAGCGGCCGAUAUCAGAUUAGCUAGUUGGUGAGGUAAAGGCUCACCAAGGCGACGAUCUGUAGCGGGUCUGAGAGGAUGAUCCGCCACACUGGAACUGAGACACGGUCCAGACUCCUACGGAGGCAGCAGUGGGGAAUUUUGGACAAUGGGCGCAAGCCUGAUCCAGCCAUGCCGCGUGAGUGAAGAAGGCCUU
rnacentral:rRNA from 1 species